GAUCCUGGCUCAGGACGAACGCUGGCGGCGUGCCUAAUACAUGCAAGUCGAGCGAAGUUUUUCUGGUGCUUGCACUAGAAAAACUUAGCGGCGAACGGGUGAGUAACACGUAAAGAACCUGCCUCAUAGACUGGGACAACUAUUGGAAACGAUAGCUAAUACCGGAUAACAGCAUUAACCGCAUGGUUGAUGUUUAAAAGUUGGUUUUGCUAACACUAUGAGAUGGCUUUGCGGUGCAUUAG
rnacentral:rRNA from 1 species